ensembl:lincRNA A530076I17Rik RIKEN cDNA A530076I17 gene
GGAGCCUAGAUGGCAAGCUGUGUGUGCUGCACGGGAUGGAGCUGGAGAAGUGACCCAAGCCCCUUGGAGAAGCCCAGAAGAUCGAGGCCACAGUUGAACAACUUUGAACUUUUGAAGAGAUUUUUGGAUUUUAAUAGAGACUUUUUUUUUAAAGAUUGAAUUUUAAGUAUUUGAAUUUGUAAAGAUGUUCUAAGUCCGUAAAAUGUUUAUCUUAGGAUGUUUAUAUUAAUGUGUGAUCUUUGGGAUAAACAAUAAAGGAAAGGUUGUAGCUUAAGAGUGAUAUGUUUGUGUGCCAAGUUGACAAGAAGUCAGUUGUGCUGGCUAAUUUUAUGUCAGCUUCACACAAGCUAGUGUAAGUCAAAUAAGCCCUUUCCUUCCCACAUUGCUUCUGGUCCUGGUGUUUCAUCACAGCAAAAUUAACCCUAACAAGCACGUUCUAAUUGCAUAUUUAUCCUUCUUUAAAAUGAUAAUGAAUUUCAGAGUUCACCUUUCUGGCUUAGAGUUACUAAGUUAUCAACUUAGAAAACUCCCAGAAAGUUGGACUUACCCAAUUAACAUUGAUUUUGAUCUAAUGGGGCUUUCAUAAUAUUUGAUAAAUUUGUAUGGUCCAAAGAACUAUAGGUCCCCUAAGGAAUAUCCCUAAGCUUACUGAAAAAUGUGCUAAAGUUUAGUUCCCAGAACCCCAUGGACAGGGACAAGGGCACCAGGACGCUCCAUAGUAUUGAAUUGUGCAGAGUGCAGACUUACAACAAGGACUCCCUGUGAGCUGAAAUUCAUGCCCAUGGCCUUUCCAAAAAGAAGGAACAAAAAAGAACUUGUGAACAGCUCUAGAAAAAAAAAAAGGGUGUGUGUGUGGGCUUUUUCAGGCCCUUCCAGGACAGAGAAGUUGGGUUCCUUCCCCUGACCUCCAUGGGGAUUGGCCAAGAGUUCUGAGAAGACGGUUUUGCAACUAAGAAAUCACAAGGCUGGAGUGAAAUGAAAACAAGCAAGGUCCUUUAUCAGCUGAGGACCGUUGGCUCUACUCUGUAGGACUUCAGACAGAGGAAAAUCAAGAGCUAAAGCAGAAAAAUGUUGCAACAUAGGAAAGACUCCCUUUGCAUGAUGUGCCUGCUACCAACUAUGACAGAUGACAGUCACGGGAGCCACCACCAAAGGGUCCAUGUAUGCUGUCUCACUUUGCAUUUAAUAAUACCCACCUCUACAAAGAAAGGCAAGUAUAUCAGCCCUGUGCUGGAUGUUGAGUCCAAGUGCACAGGUCACAGACCUUGCAUCUGUUUGCAGUGUACAUGGGAUUUUUAUGAUAUCUGUUGAUAAUAAUUUUAUUCAAAUAUGCUUAUUCUCAUGGUCAUAUCAGGAGACUUCUUCAAGAAAAUCGAUCUUUAAAACAUAUAGGCUUAAAUCGUAUUUUAAAAUAUUAUAUUUCAUUUGGCUUUACUUAUUUUGAAAGCUAUUUUAAUGAUACAAAUACCAUACAGUGUAUGUUUGUCAUAUAAAUUUCAAAUAAUGUAAAACCUAAAGUCAACCUUUACUUACUCCCCAAUAUCCAGAAUAAGAAUGUGGGUACUUUUGGAAAUGAUUCUUUCAGAAUUUUACAGUGAUCUACAUCUACAAAAAGAAAGGUGUAGAAAUACUCUUGACUAUGUAUGUAACAUGUAUGUUAUAUAUGUAUGUGUAUAAAUUUACAUAUAUACUGUGCAGUUGUUUUAUUGUAACAAUAAAAUCGUAGGUUACUGUUUUAU